GCAGCAGAUGAGUAGACUGCUCGCGUAAACAUGACAACGUAGUGCCAAGCGAGAAGCCGGUGUAAUUCCGGCACGGUCGCGCCACUGUAACUGGGCCCCCAGAAGUCAGACCUCGCUUGGCAGCCACCUUCACCCCCU
rfam:Pseudomonas sp. M47T1 contig010, whole genome shotgun sequence.